rnacentral:rRNA from 1 species
UACAUGGGGUGCAAACGUUUGCUCGGAAUCAUUGGGCGUAAAGCGCGCGUAGGCGGUUACUUAAGUCGAAUGUGAAAGCCCUCGGCUUAACUGAGGAAGUGCAUCCGAAACUGAGUAGCUAGAGUACGAAAGAGGGUCGCGGAAUUCCCGGUGUAGAGGUGAAAUUCGUAGAUAUCGGGAGGAACACCGGUGGCGAAGGCGGCGACCUGGGUCGAGACUGACGCUGAGGCGCGAAAGCGUGGGGAGCAAACAGG